rnacentral:lncRNA from 1 species
GAUUUUUCAAAUUCACGUCACUAUUGCUGCCUGAAUUCUGUUUCUUUGCAAAAUUUUACCAUUUUAUGACUUUCAUACCUAAUUUAUCACUUAGACUUUUAUAACAAUAAUUAACUUCAUCCUUGACCAUUUAAACAACCAUUCAUCAUCAAAUACUUACACAUCAUUCUAUAGUAAAAUCAUAUUUACAAAUAUACAAAAUUACUAAAUUCCUAUACAUGCCAUAACUAAAAGAAAUGUUCACCACCACAAUUAGCUCAGAAUCGACUUUGGAUGCUGAUUCAACAAUCCGACUUUGACCUAACCUGCGCACGGAAACAACCGUACGCUGAGUAUGGAAAUACUCAGUGGUAUUACCAUAAUUCGAAUUAAUAACAUUAAUCGAUAAAUUAUAUACAUUUUAUUUAUGUCUACAAUUAUUCAUUAAUUAUCUCAUGCAUUAAAUCAACUUGAUAAUUAAUAACAAUAAGCUAUAAUUCAAAUCUUGUAUUUAAUUGUAUUCAUACCUUAUUUCACUAUCUCAAUUCCAUUGGAUUUUUCUUUACAUCUCAUUCCAAUAGUUCAUUUCAAUUCAUAUACAAUUCAUUUCAUUUAAUUUAUAUUCAAUAUAAAUUUUAUUGCAAUUUGUACUCACUAAUAUCAUAUAACAAAAUUUACUCUUUAUCACAUCAUGAACUUUGGGCUCAUAUCUUUAAAUCUCUUAUUUCGAUUUCCAAUUCACACAUCAAUUCACAACUUCACUUUUUCGUUUCUUCCCAUAGCUCAAUCAAUCACAUUUAUUCAAUUUUCUCAUUUCAAUUAUUUACCCCUAUUAACAAGACUCGGACCUUGGCGGAUACACGGAUCCAACCAAACACACCAAAAUGGCACCCAGUGCCUCAUCGGAUAGUUCGAAGCAAUAGUUGACACCCAGUGUCUCAUCGGCCCAGCCGAAGUAAAGUUGGUACCCAGUACCUCAUCGAAUCUAUCCGAAGAAAUAUAGUGACACCCAGUGUCUCAUCGACUCAAGGUCGAAGUAUCCCUGAACUCUUCCAAUCCUAUGGCAUGCCAACUAUAUCCGACUCAGCCCGACUAGUUAAUAGGGUUUCCGAAUCACAUUUCAAUUCAAUCACUUUCUCAUACUUUCAAUUCAAAUCAUUCCCAUUUAAUCACCAUUUGUUUCAAUACAUUUUUCUAUUUCAAAUUCACUUUCGAUUUAAUUGCAAUUCAACUCAGAUUCACUUCCCACUUUCAAAUCAAUAUACAAUUCAAUACCAAUACAUAUUUCAGAUAUUCACAUAUAAUCAUACUUCGAUUCAAUUCAAACCACUUUUCAAUCAAUACACAAUUCACAUAUUCACAUAUCUCAAUUUAAUAUCUCAUUUAUUCAAUUCAUAUUUUAAUUCAUUCAAUUAAAUAUUGAUAUUCUCCUUAUUUUUAUUUACUAACAUAUUAUUCAAAAUUCAAUAAUUACUGUCAAUAAAUUCAAUAUCAAUACGUAUAUAUAUUAUUCAAUUCAAUUAUGAAACUCACCUCAAUUUGCUUAUCGUGUAUAUUAAUUUAAUUUUCAACGAUUAAUAAUUAAAUUCGAAUUAUAGUAAUACUAACCGUAAUUUCUCUCGAGUCACUCCUUGUCCACUUUCUCCUUUCCUUUCUCGGACAAUGAUUCGUACACGACAUUAACUACGUAAUUAAACAAUUAAAAAUCAUUAAUACACAAUUUCAUUAAAAUAUUUCCUUUUAUACCUAAACUUUACCCAAAUUCUAAUUUAAUCCCUUACCAAUACUAAUUUUAUUUUUCCCAAUCUAACUCUAUAUUCUCUCUUAAUUCUUACUAAACUCAUAUUUAACUAUUUAAUUUUUAUCAUGUUUUCAUAAUUCCGAAUUUAUUUCAAAUUAAUCCCUAAAAUUCAAAACUUAUAGUUUAAUUUACAAUUCAAUCCUUUAUUCAAUUCCAAUCAAAAUUUCUAUCAAAUACAUCCCUAAUUUAACAAUUUAUUCAACAUGAACCAUGCUUAAUAAUCUACUAACUUUCAAAAUUUCAACUUAAAUCAAGUAGUAUUUUAUUCUAGGAUUUCAAAAAAAAUAUCAAAAUUAAGAGAAAAGGGGAUUAAAUUGACUUACCAAAUUACUUUGAACCUUAAAACCCCGAAUUUCCCUUUUUCUUUUCUUUUCUUUCUUUCUUUCCUUCCUUCCUUCUCUGUUUCGUUUUGCUCUCUGUUUCUUUCUUUCUCCCUUCUCUGUUUUGUUUUGCUCUUUGUUUCUUUUCUUUCUUUCUUUGUCAUAUAUAUAUAUAUAAUAUAAUAUAAUAUAAAAUAUUAAUAAUAAUCAUUACUUACAUAUAUAUAUAUAUAUAUAUUAACUAGAAUAUCUCAGAUAUUUCUUUCAUUAUGCCGCCUCAACUUUAGAAAAAGGCAUAAUUGCCUAUUUGGUCCUUUUAACUUUUCUUUAAUCUAUAAUUAAACUUUUAUCCCUAUU